ACGAACGCUGGCGGCGUGCCUAACACAUGCAAGUCGAGCGGAGACAGUGAGUAGCUUGCUAUGAGCUGUUUUAGCGGCGGACGGGUGAGUAACGCGUGAGCAACCUUUCCCAGACAGGGGAAUAACACACCGAAAGGUGUACUAAUACCGCAUAAGACCACGGAAUCACAUGGUUCUGAGGUAAAAGAUUUAUCGGUUUGGGGUGGGCUCGCGUCCGAUUAGGUAGUUGGUGAGGUAACGGCCCACCAAGCCGACGAUCGGUAGCCGACCUGAGAGGGUGAUCGGCCACAUUGGGACUGAGACACGGCCCAAACUCCUACGGGAGGCAGCAGUGGGGAAUAUUGGGCAAUGGAGGAAACUCUGACCCAGCAACGCCGCGUGGAGGAAGAAGGUUUUCGGAUCGUAAACUCCUGUCCUUGGAGACGAGUAGAAGACGGUAUCCAAGGAGGAAGCCCCGGCUAACUACGUGCCAGCAGCCGCGGUAAUACGUAGGGGGCAAGCGUUGUCCGGAAUAAUUGGGCGUAAAGGGCGCGUAGGCGGCUCGGUAAGUCUGGAGUGAAAGUCCUGCUUUUAAGGUGGGAAUUGCUUUGGAUACUGUCGGGCUUGAGUGCAGGAGAGGUUAGUGGAAUUCCCAGUGUAGCGGUGAAAUGCGUAGAGAUUGGGAGGAACACCAGUGGCGAAGGCGACUAACUGGACUGUAACUGACGCUGAGGCGCGAAAGUGUGGGGAGCAAACAGGAUUAGAUACCCUGGUAGUCCACACUGUAAACGAUGAAUGCUAGGUGUAGGGGGUAUCGACCCCUUCUGUGCCGCAGUCAACACAAUAAGCAUUCCGCCUGGGGAGUACGGCCGCAAGGUUGAAACUCAAAGGAAUUGACGGGGGCCCGCACAAGCAGCGGAGCAUGUGGUUUAAUUCGACGCAACGCGAAGAACCUUACCAGGUCUUGACAUCCACUUAAACUUACAGAGAUGUAAGGUGUGCUUGCACAAAGUGAGACAGGUGGUGCAUGGUUGUCGUCAGCUCGUGUCGUGAGAUGUUGGGUUAAGUCCCGCAACGAGCGCAACCCUUGCUAUUAGUUGCUACGCAAGAGCACUCUAAUAGGACUGCCGUUGACAAAACGGAGGAAGGUGGGGACGACGUCAAAUCAUCAUGCCCCUUAUGACCUGGGCUACACACGUACUACAAUGGCUAUAACAAAGAGAAGCGAGACCGCGAGGUGGAGCAAAACUCAAAAAAGUAGUCUCAGUUCGGAUUGUAGACUGAAAUUCGUCUACAUGAAGCUGGAAUUGCUAGUAAUGGCAGGUCAGCAUACUGCCGUGAAUACGUUCCCGGGCCUUGUACACACCGCCCGUCACACCAUGAGAGCCGGGGGGACCCGAAGUCGGUAGUCUAACCGCAAGGGGGACGCCGCCGAAGGUAAAACUGGUGAUUGGGGUG
rnacentral:rRNA from 1 species